GUAUGUUGCCUUUUUAGCGGCAGUCUUUCACCAAACAUGUCUGGCGCCAAAGAGAAGGACAAAUGUCUGGAAUAUCACAUAAGUAGAUAUAGUAGUAGGGCUCUGUACUGCAUGCCCAGCAAAUCAAUGUGAGCACUUGCUUGAGCGGGUUGUUAAACUAGAAAGUGUGCAUUUAGCCAUAUUUGGGCCCAUAGCUGAAUCACACGGAAGUAGAUUAUGCUGCAUCAGGAGGUUCAACAGACGUUUCUAUAGACAUCUUGAUGCUCAUGAGAGAUAUCCCUUCAAAUUGAGUAGUCCUAAAAACUGAGUCCACUGUAAAGCUGUCAGUCCCAUAUCUUUGCCGUAAAGCCUUUUAUCACUUUGUGUAUCUUUCCCUUUAGCACAUUACAGUUACAGGCUGAUUACAGUUAAAAAAACGUAAUAAACACACUCCUUAUACAUGACAACUGAUUUCUUUUCCACAUCAUUAGUUUUUCUUUUCAACGGUGUUUUGUUAUGUGUAGUGUUUUGUGCAGCACAUGUCCCACCGAGCUGUCGCAGUGCUGAUGGCACACACACACCCACCACCCACCCCCCGUGUAGCUUCACCGACACUACAUCAUUAGCUGUCUGCUGAACACCUGGAGGCAAAGCCAGCGAGGCACCGGACUUGGAGCUGUGCCAGCACCGAGGAUGAGAGCGGCUUAUCCCCUACUCUUAACUGUGAGGAUGCAGGAAUUCACGAGACGGGAACACACACACACACACACACACACACACACACACACACACACACACAACCAGCAAUGACUUGUUUGCUUCUUCAGCCCAAAAAGAAACACAAGAAAGGAUUUUGAGGAGAGCCAGCUUUAGAUCUUCACGUCGGAGAAACCUCAUGAACGACUUUAGAGAGCGGAUUCACACUUUGUGUGCGUGAAUGUGUGUUUAUGAACAUGUUUGUCUACAAAGUGAGUGCACUUCCAUCUACAGAACGAUUGUGUGAACCAAAGGUAUACAUUAGCCCUCCUUUACAUAGUCAUAUGUAUAAAUAUGUAUAAAUCAUGAUAAAGUCUGUGUAUAUGUGC
ensembl:lncRNA